CACACAGUUCCCAUACUCUGUCUUCCUCAAACUGUAAAGGUCAUACCUCCUGCUGGUGGACAUUGCUGGUUCCAGCAAAGGUUGAACUGAUUCAGAUGCUUUCUUAGAGGGGGUGGAGAGGCCUGAGAACAGCCUGGUUUUUGAAGAGAGAAAAAAUGAAGAAUAUUGUCCUUUCGUGAAGAAAAAAGAGGUUGAAGAAACAAUAAUCUCUUGCAUUUGUUAGUACUAAAAUCAACUGAAAGGCACAGAAUCACACUGCUCCCUAUGGCUCUUUGCACAUUCACUAGCUCAGAACGCAGUAGCUGCAGUUUGGAUCUGCUGGCAUCCACCAUGUACUUCUAUUAACCAAAACUUCACAUGUGACUAUAUAUCUGCACUUUCUGGGCCUGUGAUACCUCCUGGCUUGUUUUACUGAAGUAAUACGGAAGAAGAAUUGAAACUAGGUUAUCUGAAGCCAGACUGCAGCCUGAAGAAUCAUUUCACUUGUGCUCUUCCUACUUUUCUCGUGUAACUUACUUCUCCCUCAAAAUCAGAGGACACUGAUCUUCCAGCUUUCAUAAGCAUUUCUGGAAACCCUGCCUUUGCCCAUGCACACCACUUUUUGCAGAAACAGGAAAUCAGUUUCUAGUAUUUUAAUCCUGGUGCUCUCAUAUAAAUAUGUGCUGUUAUUUAUAGCAUCUCUGGGGAAGGAAAAGUGUCUGUAACCAUUAAAAAUUGUGUCUCCACAACAAAAUAUUGAUCUGAAAAAUAGUGAUGGAAAAUUAACACUUGCUCAUAGAGGCUGUAAAGUUGUGCCACUGGUGUUCGUGUGGCUUCCAUUGGUGCUGAUUUUUAUUUCUUUCAUGAGUGCAAAAUAUAAAGAAGAUAUCUGUGCUAUCUUUUAAUGGCUAUUACUACAGUCAUCUUUUUAGGGAUAGCUGAGUUGGAUAAUUAGAGGGCUGAAUAGCACAGUUCUUCAUGCCUUGCAUCCUUCACACACUGGUCUAAAGCACAGCCACAAUCACAGCAGGACUUUGUUGAGAAGAAAUUAAAGUAGGAGGGUAACAUAGCUGGAAUUUCUCUUUCAAGUCUCCCACUAGUUUAAAUCUUAUUCCAUCCAAAUACUUUCUUCAAGUAAUCACAGUAUGUUUCACCCAAAUUUUACUUGACACAUUCACUGUACAUUAAUGGCUCUUGCAGAGCUGAUAUAUUUGUAGCUUUAGGGGAAGGGAAAGGGAGGCCACUUUGAUACCAGUUUAUGUAACAAAAAUUUGUUUCUUGGAAGGCUCAAGGCCAUUAAGAGUAAAAAUUAUAUUGGAAUAUAUUCCAUAUGGCAGUUUCUCAGGUACUGUGAUAACUAACCCAAGUUAAUAAUUAAAAUCCAUUUCUAUGACUCUUUCCUUCUAGAUGCAAAAAAGGGUUGGAGCUUUCCUUUUACUACCAUGCCAUCUUUUUUCGAGUAUAUGAUACUGUUGUCAUUACCAGAGCAUACUUAACUUUUUAUUGUGUAAUAUUUCAUCUGGGUAAACAAUCAAAGGGAAGAGGGUUGUUUUGUUCUUUAAGAUAUUUUUGUAUAAGAUGAGCCCAUGGUGAUAUUAGUGAUUUAUGGAGCACAAAUAGCCCUGGCAGCUUUAAGACUCCUUUUCCAGUGUAAUACUGGAAAGUGUCUUCUGUUCCCUUCCUCCUAGCUGCAUGUUUUGAUGUGCUAUGAUCUUGGUUUGGGCAGCCACAGAGCAUGCUGUCCUUGUGCUCAGUAGCAUCAGCAGCUGCUGCACUCAGCGGGAGCUAUUUUGGGAUCUGUCCACGUCGGGGAGACCUUCAGAGGUCGAAGGUAUGAGAGUAGCACAAUAGAAGGAUUAAGCUCAAAACUCUAGUUUGAUGCUUUUAAGGUCUUGGGGACAUUUUACCACUUCUUCAGUUAUAAAACAUGAGGUUUUUAUCUGCCUGCCUGGCAGGAUGCUGUGAUCUCAUGAUCACUGGGUGGUGCAUCCUCUGUAUUAAGAAAACCAUAAAGGAACCAUGACCAUUGCAAAUACAGGAAUUAGGUGUAAAUACUCAGAAAUCUGAACUUUAAAAAUUUAUAUACUUCAGGUUUGCUGUUUGGGGUUUCCCCCACCCACUCCCAAAAAAACCCCGAAACCAACAAACCCCAACCUGUUCUGCUGGGAAAUGAAGUCCAUGCAUAAAAUAGAGAAUAUUCCAGUGUCCUUCCUCAGUAUAGGGGGAUAGGAGUUCAGUGUCCUAUCACCAAACCAAAGGAAAAGGUUUGGGCUAAGUUACAUAAAAUAUGAAAGAAAAUGAAUGCAACUCACUUGGCAGGGGGCAGCUCUUCAGCCUUUCCUCAUAUGGUCAGAUACAGCUGUGGAGGUCUGCUCAAGACAGAGCUGCAAUUUAGUGACUCCUGAACCUGUGCUCCUGUGACCACUAGCUGAUGUUCACUGAGACCCUGCAAUCUCAACUGUUUGCCUUUGGCCUCCAAAUGCCAAACUAAAUUUUUUUUUUUAAUACUAAUUUUUAAAGAGCUGCUGCAGGAGCAGUUGGAGAUUCAGGAACAUCUCUGCAGAUGCUUUCACACACUAUUGGAGUGGUGUCCAACCUGCCUUCUGGCUUGUGAGCUGAUUGACUUGUACUGUGCCAAAGAUUUUUGUUCUGCACUUUUUCUACUGCAUGACUGUCAGAUAGCUUUAGGGUUCAUGGUGAGAGCAUUCAGACCUAAUGCAGCUGCGCCUGCUGCUCCAACAGCUACUUCAUACCCAGGCAGGUCACAGCACAGGACAAAAAGCAGCUGCCAGUCUGUGAGUCAGAAAGCAUCUUUGGCCUGGGAAGAAAACCGUUGUGCCAAUAGAUUAUGUACCUUAGUUCUCCAAAGUUACUGAGAAGAUGCUGAUCAGUUCAUUUCUACUGAGUAUUGUAAAACUCUGUGACAGGAACUACCUCAUAAUACCUUAAAACGGGCAACACUUUUGAAUUAGUAACUUCUAUGUAUUUUCACUUUUUGACUAACAUGAGAAUAAGGAGCUAAGCAAAACAUCUUUGCGUAUGAGUGUGCAUCUGACUUCACAGCUUCUGCUUCUGUUACUGAAGCUUUACCGGUGACACAAUCAUGAAAACAGCUAAUUAGGGAAAACUGAAAGGUAACAUUUUUCUCAAACAGUACUCUUUGAUGACAGUAUUUUGGCUUGUGAUAAAAGGAGACAAAUUGUUGAAUUAUGAACAUCCUCCUCCUCUUCUGGCACAAUUUUUCAGGUAUUAAAAUACAAUUGCUUUCUCCCUUCAAAGUCUUGAGUAUUUCUGGUCAGAAACCUAGGUUUGCUGAUGCCUGGGACCAGUGCUACUGUUUGGUGAUGAUGGGGGGGAUGGCCAGUGCCAGCAUCCCUGUCCCAGCCACAGUUCCAUGGGUACAAAUCAAGAUGGGGGGCACCGGUUUAUGAGAUUUAUGUAGAGCCUGGGAGAUUUGCUAGAUUACCCAUAUCUAGUGUCUCUUUGAGGAGAUGAAUGCUACACCAUUCUUAAAGGGACUGAGGUUGCUGAAUUUGCUCCUUCUUCUUGGAUAAAUGAUGUACUGGAAACUACACUUUGAAUCUGUACAACUGACAUAUUGGGCAGUCCUCAUCAAAUAGCUUAAAAUUCAGCAGAAGCAAGCAUGCAUGCAGUUCUCUGGGGAACAAAUGUAUCUGCAGGAGUUUGGCCAACUGCAUUUAUUUAGCAGAUCUGGAAGAAAGGAAUUACAUUUUAUUUUUAAUUGCCUUAAUUCUCAUAUUUCUUAGAGCAAAGCAGUGGCAGAAAUCAAGUCACCAGGUACAUUUUACAUCUGCUACAACCACACCUAAUGAAGCUUACUCAGGUAUGGCAACUUGCCACUUCUAGUCAGUAACAGCACUGCUGCUCCCGUAGCAGUUCACCAUUUUCAUCAUGUUUGGGCUUCUAAUAAAGUUUUGUUAUCUGUGUCAGGAGACAGUAAAAGUAUAUCUAUACACUAAAGAUACCACACCUUCACCAGGGUUCCUAUGUUGUGGUGGGUUUUUUAUUUUUUUGCUUGUUUGUUUGUUUUGUUUGUUUUGUUUGUUCUUGUUUUGUUUUGUUUUUGUAAACUCCAGGUCAUGGGCUAAUCUGAAUGAUUUCAGUGGUCUUCCUCUGAAGCUGCCUUACCUUAUCAUGCUGUGAGGAGUGAGCCCAGAGCUCUCAGGUAUCUUUUUGCCCCUGCUUGUUGUAAGAGCAAAGCUCACCUGUGCCCAAGGACAAGCACUCCUUGCCAAAAUCCUUUGGGAGCACCAACAUACAUAAUGUCCCUUGGAAACUAGUAGGGAUAGUCCCUGCAGCC